rnacentral:rRNA from 1 species
CUGUCUCAGUUCGGAUUGGAGUCUGCAACCCGACUCCAUGAAGCUGGAUUCGCUAGUAAUCGCGCAUCAGCCACGGCGCGGUGAAUACGUUCCCGGGCCUUGUACACACCGCCCGUCAAGCCAUGGAGGCCGGGGGUGCCUGAAGUGCGCUGCCGCAAGGAGCGCCCUAGGGUAAAACCGGUGACUGGGGCUAAGUCGUAACAAGGUACC